rnacentral:ncRNA from 2 species
GAUUCCGGGGAGCGCUGCGAGGCCAUGCCCCAGGCCCGGAAACGCAAAACGGCGCUCACCUGCU